AGCGGCGGGAGGUUAAUUUCUGUCCGUCUUCGCCUAUCAGCCCCGGGUCUGAGCAGCCACAAGUCCCAGACGCCUGGGCCGCGGGAAUAAAUAAAGAAAUAAACAAACCCAGCGCUCUCUGGGGGAAAUGGGGGUGGCGAACAUCAGGCACAAAUAGAACCGAGAUCGAUUUUCUUAGGGAGGGGGAGGGGGGCUCUUGGCGAAGGGAGGUGGGAGCCAAUCUCAGCCCACGAUUGGGAAGAAAUCAAAUUGUUCCGAGGUGGAACGAAGUCCCUUGGAGGAGGCACGAGAGUCCUCUUAUUAUUUAAAAAUUAUUUUUUUCCGAGGAGGAGCUCUCGGCAAACGAAUAUCCAGGCGCCGCUCUAGCUGGUUAUGUUUGGGACGCGAUAACUCAGUGCCUGCUCGCAGACCUGCAUACAACGCCCCGUGGAGGGAUAUGCGCUCGAGCUUUCGCGCGCAGCUGGAAACGCGCUGGGUGCAGUUGGGAACACGUACUGCGUAGACGCCCCCGGCGGCGCCGAGGGAAGAGCUAGGCCUGCCCGGGAGCGAGCGAGCGAGCGUCGGGCCUUCCGCAAGGCCCCGGGGCCUUGAGCGCCGCAGCGGGUCCCCCCUGGCCUCCUGGUGCUGGGUUUCUGGUCUUUGGGGGCAGCCUCGACAGAAGGAUCCGGAAGCAGGGGCCUCCAGACGCCUAGCUGCUGCCGCGCCAUCACACCCGGAAAACCCUGGGGUGAAACUGACCACGGCUUUCGUGGGGUGCAACAGAGAGAGGUUGGUGGCAAAGAAAACUUCCUGGCGACCGUUUUGGGGGGGGGGUUGGGCUUGUCUUCCUGGUCGCCAUGGCGACCCAGGAGUCCCGUCCACACUCUCAACAAUGGGGCACCCGCAGGACCAUCUGGACGUUCCGAGGUCUUCGAGGUUCUUCUCCCACCCAUCACUCUGGGGCUCUUGGCUUUCCGGAGCCUCCUCCACAGAUUCAACACGGCAGGGAUUGAAAAACCACCCCCUUUUGGAAACGGAGGAGAAAAAUCGAGAUUUAGUGCCGUCUUUGCGGGUGGGCCCAGGUCUGGAGCAAAAGCCCCCACUUGGAGUUGACGACCGUGACCUCCGAGGGGUGCGUACAGGGAUGCUUUCGCCCAAGCCCUCAAGCCCAGAUUUUCAGCCGGCGACCUGGGACCGGGUCAGCGACCAGGAGUGCUGAGUCUCUGUCUCUUCGCAUAUACUAUUCACCCCGAUCUCUGCUUUCGAGGGUCCCCGCAUACAUGCACACCACCCUUUCGCCUGCCUGGAUUAACGUCUCAGUGGAAGGAGGAAAGUCAGGAACUAGAAAUUUGUGGCUUUCGUGUGGGCAAGGCCUUACUGAGAGAAAGAAUACAUUAUACUCCUUUUAGAGGGAACAGUUUCCAUUGUGGGUGUAAUAUAAACAACAUUAAAAUAGCACGUUGGCCUGCA